GGUCGUAUGGUGUAGUUGGUUAUCACGUGGGCUUCACAUCUUCACAGAUGAAAGCGUUCAAGGUCCUCAGUUCGAGCCUGAGUACGAUCA